GUAGUUUCUGCGCUCCAGGUACGCCACCUGGUGAAACUCGACUUCCAGGACAACGCUCCGUAGUUCUGGUUGUCCAGGUCCGUGAGCUGGUGACUUUUGAUCUUUAGGACUAAUUUUCCGGAGUUCUGGCUAUUCAGGUCCUGCACCU